rnacentral:rRNA from 1 species
UGCCCAGACUCCUACGGGAGGCAGCAGUGGGGAAUAUUGCACAAUGGGGGAAACCCUGAUGCAGCGACGCCGCGUGAAGGAUGAAGUCUUUCGGUAUGUAAACUUCUAUCAGCAGGGAAGAAAAUGACGGUACCUGACUAAGAAGCCCCGGCUAACUACGUGCCAGCAGCCGCGGUAAUACGUAGGGGGCAAGCGUUAUCCGGAUUUACUGGGUGUAAAGGGAGCGUAGACGGCAUGGCAAGUCUGAUGUGAAAGCCCGGGGCUCAACCCCGGGACUGCAUUGGAAACUGUCAGGCUAGAGUGUCGGAGAGGCAAGUGGAAUUCCUAGUGUAGCGGUGAAAUGCGUAGAUAUUAGGAGGAACACCAGUGGCGAAGGCGGCUUGCUGGACGAUGACUGACGUUGAGGCUCGAAAGCGUGGGGAGCAAACAGGAUUAGAUACCCUCGUAC